rnacentral:rRNA from 1 species
CAGCCGCCACGGUAAUACAGAGGGUGCGAGCGUUAAUCGGAUUUACUGGGCGUAAAGCUUGCGUAGGCGGCUUUUUAAGUCGGAUGUGAAAUCCCUGAGCUUAACUUAGGAAUUGCAUUCGAUACUGGGAAGCUAGAGUAUGGGAGAGGAUGGUAGAAUUCCAGGUGUAGCGGUGAAAUGCGUAGAGAUCUGGAGGAAUACCGAUGGCGAAGGCAGCCAUCUGGCCUAAUACUGACGCUGAGGUACGAAAGCAUGGGGAGCAAACAGGAUUAGAUACCCGCGUAGUCCAUGUCACUUAUAA